CUUCAACCUGGGCUCUUCUACAGUCUGGUAGCAGUGUUUUCUUCAGAAGCUGAUGACAUUCUAGUCACUGGAACCUCAAUAUUGUGAAGAAUGGACAACGAUCUGAAACAGUUUGGAAAUGGUGCUCAGAUUUCAUGUCUUGAGAGAGAGAUACUAAGGAAAGCAAAGCAAUUAAAAAUCUGAAAGCUUCUCAGAAGAGCUGGUAAAAACAGCUAUUUUGCUCUUUGCUGUGCUAUACUGAUAUCAAUCAGAAUUUUAUAUUGUUGGACUAGGAAACAGGUAAGAAAGUCUUUGAUUAAUUUUUUGAUACUGAAAUCUUUACAUCUGUGAAAGAAUAUUGCACCAUCUGCAGACUACAUUCUU
rnacentral:lncRNA from 1 species